rfam:Candidatus Marinimicrobia bacterium CG1_02_48_14 cg1_0.2_scaffold_1323_c, whole genome shotgun sequence.
UCCGGAGUAGCUCAACGGCAGAGCGGGUGACUGUUAAUCACUAGGUUGGGAGUUCGAAUCUCUCCUCCGGAG